rnacentral:rRNA from 1 species
CCUACGGGUGGCUGCAGUGAGGAAUAUUGGUCAAUGGGCGAGAGCCUGAACCAGCCAAGUCGCGUGAGGGACGACGGUCCUAUGGAUUGUAAACCUCUUUUGUCGGGGAACAAAGGCGCCCACGGGUGGGCGGAUGAGUGUACCCGAAGAAAAAGCAUCGGCUAACUCCGUGCCAGCAGCCGCGGUAAUACGGAGGAUGCAAGCGUUAUCCGGAUUUAUUGGGUUUAAAGGGUGCGUAGGCGGACAGUCAAGUCAGCGGUAAAAAUGCGGUGCUCAACGCCGUACAGCCGUUGAAACUGGCAGUCUUGAGUGGGCGAGAAGUAUGCGGAAUGCGUGGUGUAGCGGUGAAAUGCUUAGAUAUCACGAAGAACUCCGAUUGCGAAGGCAGCUCACUGGACUGCAACUGACACUGAGGCUCGAAAGUGUGGGUAUCAAACAGGAUUAGAUACCCGAGUAGUC